AUGGAAUAAUGAAAUAGGAUGUUUGAUCCUAUUUUGUUGGUUUCUAGGAUCGACGUAAUGAUUAAUAGGGAUAGUUGGGGGCAUUAGUAUUCAAUUGUCAGAGGUGAAAUUCUUGGAUUUAUUGAAGACUAACUACUGCGAAAGCAUUUGCCAAGGAUGUUUUCAUUAAUCAAGAACGAAAGUUAGGGGAUCGAAGACGAUCAGAUACCGUCGUAGUCUUAACCAUAAACUAUGCCGACUAGGGAUCGGAUGAUAAAUUUUUAAUAACUCAUUCGGCGUCUUACG
rnacentral:rRNA from 1 species